UAGGGAAUCUUCGGCAAUGGACGGAAGUCUGACCGAGCAACGCCGCGUGAGUGAAGAAGGUUUUCGGAUCGUAAAGCUCUGUUGUAAGAGAAGAACGAGUGUGAGAGUGGAAAGUUCACACUGUGACGGUAUCUUACCAGAAAGGGACGGCUAACUACGUGCCAGCAGCCGCGGUAAUACGUAGGUCCCGAGCGUUGUCCGGAUUUAUUGGGCGUAAAGCGAGCGCAGGCGGUUAGAUAAGUCUGAAGUUAAAGGCUGUGGCUUAACCAUAGUACGCUUUGGAAACUGUUUAACUUGAGUGCAAGAGGGGAGAGUGGAAUUCCAUGUGUAGCGAAUUCCUUGUGGUGUAGCGGUGAAAUGCGUAGAUAUAUGGAGGAACACCGGUGGCGAAAGCGGCUCUCUGGCUUGUAACUGACGCUGAGGCUCGAAAGCGUGGGGAGCAAACAGGAUUAGAUACCCUGGUAGUCCACGCCGUAAACGAUGAGUGCUAGGUGUUAGACCCUUUCCGGGGUUUAGUGCCGCAGCUAACGCAUUAAGCACUCCGCCUGGGGAGUACGACCGCAAGGUUG
rnacentral:rRNA from 1 species